rnacentral:tRNA from 1 species
UGUCCAAUGCGGGAAUCGAACCCGGGUCCUAGUGGUCGAAAACCAAACGGUUUAACCAGCCUUCCACUGACCCCUUUAAUAAAC